AUGGGCAGCGUAGAAGGGGCACGGGCCAGACCUGGGGGGCAGAGACCACAGUCGGGGGUCGGUUGGGGGAGCUGGGCAGGGAUGGGAGGGUCUUACCCUUGCCGACACUCCCGUCGCGCAUCACUCCCUUUUCCCGCCCUCCCUCAUCCACACUCCCUUAAUCCCACCCCCACAACAGAGCUUCUUGCUGGUGGGGCAGCCGGCCUCCGGGACCCCGCCCAGCCCCGGCCCCCAGAUCCUGGGCCUAGAGGAGUCCGAGGCCUCGGGUUUGGACGCGGCCGUGGAGCUGGUGGACUUGUACGAGGACGGAGGUGCCGGCCAGGGCGGGGGGCACUUCCAGCCGGGGGAGGUGCUGCUGUAGGCCGCGGGGCCGGGCCGGGCCGGCCGACAUCCCCGGCCCGCUCCACCGCCCCACCCCCGUUCAGCCACACUCCAGACCCGGGUCUCUCUAACGACGCACAGGGGUCUCGCCACCCCCACCCCAGCCGGGUCCCCGGGGCUCUGACAUCACUCCGCGGCCCCCCGACCUCACUGAUGCCCCGUCCCGCCCCCCUUCUCAGGGGCCCGGCCCCCAGCCCUCCAUGGUGCUCUAGCUCCGCGAUUACCUCAAUUUGUAGGGUUCGUCUUUAUUAGGGGGGGAGGGGGGAGGGGAGUUUUUAACCCGUCUGAGCUCGGGGGACUCCGUUCGGACGAUCCCUUGGUCUCUGCUUUUCUGUUGGGACACUGGUGGGUUUUUACUAUUUGUUUCCUGGGAACAGGCUCGAGCCGCCCUCCCGCCUGUCGGCCUCCCUGGCUCCGGCCGCUGGUUCCCGCCGCCUGCCCCCUCCCUGGGACCCCCCCGUUCCCCCCACUGAGAUCCCUCCCCCAGCAGCCGUUCCAGCCGCUCGGUGAUCACACGCACAGCCCUGCCUCCUGCAGCCGGGGGCGGAGGGACAGACGCACACACAAACCUCCCCCUUCCCUCCGCCCCAUCUCUCCGCCGGGCAAGUGACCUGUUUCCAUGACAAUGGGGCCCGGGGAGCCACGUGGCACCGCGACCAGGACCGCCCCACCCCCUCCCAGCCUCGAUUCACCCCCUUUCGGGCCUCCCCCCACCGGCCCAUCCCGGGUUGGGGGGGACACAAAAGCCCACAUGGUGCUAUGGGGGAGUCUGCGGGGAGGGCCGGUGGUUCCUGUCUGCCCUUGGUUGAGGGAGGGGGGUCUGGGCCCCUGGGGGACUCUGUACCCCCUGACCUCACCCCGCUGCCAUAAAAUGAGCGGUCGAGCCAAGCCCCCCCCCGGACCUGUUGACCAAGAGCAGUUUAUAGUGUCGUUCUGGGCAACUUGGGAGGGGGGUGGGCUUUUGUCUCCAGCAUGUGCAUGUGUGGGAAUGUAAUAACAGUAAUAAUAAUAAUAACGGUAUUUGUUCAUAAUGAUGAUGGUAUUUGUUAAACGCUUACUAUGUGUCAAGCAGUGUUCUAAACUCUGGGGUAGGUGCAAGAUAAUAAGGCUGGACAUAGUCCCUGUCUCAUAUGGUCCCGUGGUCUUAAUCCCCAUUUUAUAGAUGAAGUAACUGAGACACAGAGAAGUUUAAGUGACCUGCUCAAGGUCACACAGCAGACACGUGGUGGAGCUGGGAUCAGAACCCAUGACCUUCUGACUCUCAGACCCCUGCUCUAUCCACUACGCCAUACUUCUUCACGACCUUAUACUAAGCCCUGGGGUAGAUCCAGGUUAAUCAGGUGGGACAUGGUCCUUGACCCACAUGGGAUUCGCAGCCUUAAUCUCCAUUUUAUAGAUGAGGUAACAGGCAUGGAGAGUAAUUGUAAGUGUGGUGUUUAAGUGCUUACUUUGUGCCAGGCACUGUUCUAAGCGCUGAGGUAGAUACAAGCAGAUCGGAUUAGACGUAGUCCCUUUCCCACUUGGGGUUCAUAGUCUUAAUCCCCACUUUACGGAUGAGGUAACUGAGGCACAGAGAAGCGAAACGCCUGGCCCAAGGUCACGCAACGGAUAAAUGGCAGAGUUGGAUUUUGAACCAAGUUCCUCUGACUCCCAAGCCUGGGCUUUCUUUAUCCAGUAGACCAAGCUGCUUCCUAGGAUCCUGCUGUCUCUUGAACGCACCCCUUUUCUUCCUGCUCAUUUUAGACCCCCCAUUCACCCUCUCCCCUACUGCCCGGUGCCCCAGCUGGCUCCUGUUAGCCUGGCCAGGAUGUUGGACGUGAGGCCCAGCCUCCUGUCUUUUUUUUUUGUAUGGUAUUUGUUAAGCACUUAAUAUAUGCCAGGCACUGUACUAAGGCCUGGGGUAGAUACAAGAAAAUUGGAUUGGACACAGUCCUUGUCUUUUAUUCAUUCAUUCAUUCAAUAAUAUUUAUUGAGCGCUUACUAUGUACAGAGCACUGUACUAAGUGCUUGGCAUGUACAGUUUGGCAACAGAUAGAGACAAUUCCUGCCCAGUGAGGGGCUCACGGUCUAAUCAGGGGAGACAGCAGAGUAAAACAGACCGAAACAAAAGAUGACGUUAUCAUGAUAAAUAGAAUCAAGGGGAUGUACAUCUCAUUAAAAUAAAUAGGGUAAUAAAUAUACAAAUGAGCACAGUGCGGAGGGGAGGGGAAAGGGGAAGAGCAG
rnacentral:lncRNA from 1 species